GCAGCUGUGCUGGAGAUGCGGAGUGUCCCGAGCUCUCCAAGAAUGAAGAAACAAAAAUAACACCAGUGGUCAACAGACAAGAGUGACCACCACUGUCAUCCAGAGGACACAGGGAACAUAAAGAAAACAAGUAGAGCACCAUUUUAGGAGGACUACAUGGUCCAUGUCAGCUAGAGAAAACAUGAGUUCUACAGUCCCUUACAGCAAGUGAAUGAAUCAUCAAAGAAAUAUGGAAGUUGAUAACAGCAGUUACUGCAGCAAUAAAAACAUGAUAAAAGGCUCUUUGACAGCAUGAAACUUUGGAAACGUUGCCAAGUACACAAUCUCACUUGCAGGAGCUUGCGGUACCCUGUUGUAUUUAGUAGGUCUUUGGGGACUUCUGACAACUUCUGGUUCAUCCCUGUAAGCUGAAAUGGUCUAUUAAAGUUCCUUCCUUUCUUAGAGUAGUCACAGAUGCUUGAACUUUAAAUAUACAUUCUGGGAAAAACGCAUGGUUAGUCCUCAACUCAAACAAAAUGGUGGAAUCUGCUGUGCUAUUAUUUUGUACUUGGAUACAUGUUUCCUAAGUUAUUAACUCAUCUUUAAAUUAUGAGUGAGUUUAGUUAUGUUUAUUUGCUUAUAAUAUUAUCCACUGAUUUUGACCAUGUUUUUAUAUUUUUGAAAGGUGAAAAUUCAGGGAAAAAUUUUAGAUGAUGAUGGUUUCAGUAUUUGUUUAAACAAAGGAGACCGUAAGACAAUAUUUAAUAAGAUCUUAACCCAGAGUAUCUAUCUAGGCUCUUAACCUUAUUACUGUAGUAAACACCUCUCCCUCUUCCAUGCCAAGCUUUGCAACUUAGAAAUAACUCUCACUGACACAUAAGUUUUGAUCCACUUCAGUUCCUCUUCUUGGAUUCUUUUGAUGAAAUGGAGCUAAAAGAAGGAACUUCUGAUGCAGAAUAACAACCCCCUCACCUCCGUUAACUUCACUGGGACUCUUGCCAGUGAUUGCUUCCAAUACUUUCUAAGUGGUCAUGUUCUGGAGAGAAUAAUUCUGGGCACACAAGCAACUAACAUUAAAAAGACUGAAUCACUCAAAUGUCAACCAAUCCACCAAGAAGUGGUGAGCUCUUCUUUUUCAGGUGUCUGUACAAGAUCUUAUUUGUCUACUGGCAAAAGUACAUUGUGCCUUUAAACACACACACACACACACUCACACGCACACACACGCACGUACACCACAAUGUCAACAAUACUUGGAAAUGUUUAUGCAGUUAUUCUUCUUGACUUUUAGUAAGAUAAAUGUUUUCUUAAGUUUAGUUUAGUUUGGAUUGGAUACUGAUCAAUUCUUACCAAAAAUAAUACACUUCCUGUAACUUUCACACCUAAAAAUAUUCUAAAAUGCCUACUCUUAUUUUCUUUCCACUCAAACUGGGAACUCACUCAAUAUAUACCAAUACAUGUGUAUAUACAUAAACAUGCAACUA